CAGUAGCCGCGGGAAUACGAAGGGUGCAAGCGUUAAUCGGAAUUACUGGGCGUAAAGCGCACGUAGGCGGAUAUUUAAGUCAGGGGUGAAAUCCCGCAGCUCAACUGCGGAACUGCCUUUGAUACUGGGUAUCUUGAGUAUGGAAGAGGUUAGUGGAAUUGCGAGUGUAGAGGUGAAAUUCGUAGAUAUUCGCAGGAACACCAGUGGCGAAGGCGGCUAACUGGUCCAUAACUGACGCUGAGGUGCGAAAGCGUGGGGAGCAAACAGGAUUAGAUACCCCCGUAGUCCCUGUCUCUUAUAC
rnacentral:rRNA from 1 species